GCGUCGGUAGUGCAACGGGUUAACACACGCUCCCGGACAGAGUGAAAUGUGGGUUCAAAAUCCACCUGAGGCA